rnacentral:rRNA from 1 species
UACAGAGGUCCCAAGCGUUGUUCGGAAUCACUGGGCUUAAAGGGCGCGUAGGCGGGUCAGCAAGUCUGGGGUGAAAUCUUUCGGCUUAACCGGAAAAGUGCCUUGGAAACUGCUGGUCUAGAGGGAGGUAGGGGCAUGUGGAACUUCCGGUGGAGCGGUGAAAUGCGUUGAUAUCGGAAGGAACGCCGGUGGCGAAAGCGACGUGCUGGAUCUCUUCUGACGCUGAGGCGCGAAAGCCAGGGGAGCAAACGGG